rnacentral:rRNA from 1 species
AUUGAACGCUGGCGGCAUGCUUUACACAUGCAAGUCGAACGGCAGCGCGGGCUUCGGCCUGGCGGCGAGUGGCGAACGGGUGAGUAAUGCAUCGGAACGUGCCCAGCAGUGGGGGAUAGCCCGGCGAAAGCCGGAUUAAUACCGCAUACGACCUGAGGGUGAAAGCGGGGGACCGAAAGGCCUCGCGCUAUUGGAGCGGCCGAUGUCGGAUUAGCUAGUUGGUGGGGUAAAGGCUUACCAAGGCGACGAUCCGUAGCUGGUCUGAGAGGACGACCAGCCACACUGGGACUGAGACACGGCCCAGGCUCCUACGGGAGGCAGCAGUGGGGAAUUUUGGACAAUGGGGGCAACCCUGAUCCAGCCAUGCCGCGUGCGGGAAGAAGGCCUUCGGGUUGUAAACCGCUUUUGUUCGGGAAGAAAUCCUCUGGGCUAAUACCCCGGGGGGAUGACGGUACCGGAAGAAUAAGCACCGGCUAACUACGUG